rnacentral:rRNA from 1 species
CCUACGGGGGGCUGCAGUGGGGAAUAUUGCACAAUGGGGGAAACCCUGAUGCAGCGACGCCGCGUGAGUGAAGAAGUAAUUCGUUACGUAAAGCUCUAUCAGCAGGGAAGAAAAACUGACCUUACGGUCAGCAGACGGUACCUGAGUAAGAAGCCCCGGCUAACUACGUGCCAGCAGCCGCGGUGAUACGUAGGGGGCAAGCGUUAUCCGGAGUUAAUGGGUGUAAAGGGAGCGUAGACGGUGCGGCAAGUCUGGAGGGAAAUGCCGCAGCUUAACUGCGGAACUGCUUUGGAAACUGGCGAACUAGAGUGCGCGAGGGGUAACCGGAAUUCGUAGUGUAGCGGUGAAAUGCUUAGAUAUUAGGAGGAACACCGGUGGCGAAGGCAGCUUACGGGACCGUAACUGACGUUGAGGCUCGAAAGCGUGGGGAGCAAACAGGAUUAGAUACCCCUGUAGUC